rnacentral:rRNA from 1 species
GAUUAACGCUGGCGGCGUGCAUAACACAUUCAAGUCGAACGGAGAGAGGUGCUUCGGUACUUCUCUUAGUGGCGGACGGGUGAGUAACGCGUGAGCAAUCUACCUCCAGGUAAGGGAUAACAACCGGAAACAGUUGCUAAUACCUUAUGAGAUAGUAAUCUCGCAUGGGAUAGCUAUCAAAGGCUUGCUGCCUGGAGAUGAGCUUGCGUCCGAUUAGCUAGUUGGUGAGGUAACGGCUCACCAAGGCGACGAUCGGUAGCCGGACUGAGAGGUUGAACGGCCACAUUGGAACUGAGAUACGGUCCAGACUCCUACGGGAGGCAGCAGUGGGGAAUAUUGGGCAAUGGGCGAAAGCCUGACCCAGCGACGCCGCGUGAGGGAAGAAGAUCUUCGGAUUGUAAACCUUAGUCAACAGGGAAGAAGAAAGUGACGGUACCUGUGGAGGAAGCCACGGCUAACUACGUGCCAGCAGCCGCAGUAACAC